GAGUUUGAUCGUGGCUCAGAUUGAACGCUGGCGGCAUGCCUUACACAUGCAAGUCGAACGGCAGCAUGAUCUAGCUUGCUAGAUUGAUGGCGAGUGGCGAACGGGUGAGUAAUACGUCGGAACGUGCCCUGUAGUGGGGGAUAACUAGUCGAAAGAUUAGCUAAUACCGCAUACGACCUGAGGGUGAAAGUGGGGGACCGGCAGGGCCUCAUGCUAUAGGAGCGGCCGAUGUCUGAUUAGCUAGUUGGUGGGUAAAGGCCCACCAAGGCGACGAUCAGUAGCUGGUCUGAGAGGACGAUCAGCCACACUGGGACUGAGACACGGCCCAGACUCCUACGGGAGGCAGCAGUGGGGAAUUUUGGACAAUGGGCGAAAGCCUGAUCCAGCAAUGCCGCGUGUGUGAAGAAGGCCUCGG
rnacentral:rRNA from 1 species